rnacentral:rRNA from 1 species
GGAAGUGGGAUGACGUCAAGUCCUCAUGGCCUUUAUGUCUAGGGCUACACACGUACUACAAUGGCCGGUACAAAGGGCAGCCACUCAGCGAUGAGGCGCUAAUCCCAUAAAGCCGGUCUCAGUCCGGAUCGCAGUCUGCAACUCGACUGCGUGAAGUUGGAAUCGCUAGUAAUCGUAGAUCAGCAUGCUACGGUGAAUACGUUCCCGGGCCUU